rnacentral:rRNA from 1 species
CGAGCGGAAGGCCCUUCGGGGUACUCGAGCGGCGAACGGGUGAGUAACACGUGAGUAACCUGCCCCGGACUUUGGGAUAACCCUCGGAAACGGGGGCUAAUACCGAAUACGACUUCCGAUUGCAUGAUCUGGAAGUGGAAAGUUUUUCGGUCUGGGAUGGGCUCGCGGCCUAUCAGCUUGUUGGUGGGGUGAUGGCCUACCAAGGCGACGACGGGUAGCCGGCCUGAGAGGGCGACCGGCCACACUGGGACUGAGACACGGCCCAGACUCCUACGGGAGGCAGCAGUGGGGAAUAUUGCACAAUGGGCGGAAGCCUGAUGCAGCGACGCCGCGUGAGGGAUGACGGCCUUCGGGUUGUAAACCUCUUUCAGCAGGGACGAAGCGCAAGUGACGGUACCUGCAGAAGAAGCGCCGGCCAACUACGUGC